AUUCUAUUGAAAGAAAUAAAAGGAGGAAGCUAAGAAAGGAAAAAGAAAAAAAAGAGGAAGUUCAUCACAGUGACCACCUAUGAUUCCAACAAUGAAGGCCCAAUGACCUGCCAUCUCUCAACUUGCAGGAAUAGUCUUUAAGACCAGGGAGAAAGAAGGCAAGAUGAGCUCAAGAGGAGGAGCAAGAGCAAGGGAAAACCUCCCCCUCAAAGGAAGAAAAACAACCCCUCUCUACUAUCUCUCCCUCUCCUUUCUAUAUUGAUACCAUUGGUGUGGUU
rnacentral:lncRNA from 1 species